CGAAGAUGCACCAUGGAUUUGAGAUAUUGCAACCCCAGAAGAUCCAUUCGGCACAAAACCAUCGCCUUCAAACUGCCAAACUCCUGAUGAAUAGUCAAGACCCUGCAACAUGAACAUAGCGUGGCUGUUGGGGUUCAUGUGGCUUGUCAUCAGCGAAAACCCACAGCUUGUGUAUGCCAUGCUCAUAACUGUAGCACUCCUCAAGUGGCACAUUAUAUGGUCUUUGCAAUUCAAAAUUUGCUUGUGUUAACGGCACACGAGUGAAACCAUCUGUGGUAUCUGCUUCGCCUAGAUUGAAGCUUUUCAGUAAGCACACAAGAACCAGAAAAAGAAGCAUAUAGCUAGAGUCAGUAUGCAUGUUCUCUAACUUUCUUUUACAAUGGUGAGAGCUCCAUGGAGAAAGGCAAGUACAUAUAACUGAAGUAGGUGGAUUCCUAUUAUUUUCUUCUUUUUGUAAUGUCAUCUCUUGGACUUGAUGAAUGUCGGUUUUUCCAAUUUAUAAGGUAAAUGAUUCUCAUUAGUAUAAACUUAAUAUAUCAAAGAAGUUGGAUCCAGGUAAGUCCUUAAAGUUCUAACCUGUUAUUCCAUUUUAUUGGCCAAAAGUUUACUAUAUUUGGACUGUAACUUUUCCUAAGAGCAAUCCGGGAACGAAGCUUAAUUUUCAAAGUCAUACUCUAUUGGUUUUAAACGUUUUUCCUAUUUUAUUCACAGCAUAUUGGUUUAAGAACAUCAGGUAAAGAAGCUCUGGAACGUAACAGAGAUGGAAAGCCUGGCUACGACUAACUCACAGAAGAGCUCAAUGAAUUCAUUUGCAGCCAAAUCAUUGUGUUCUCUUAUAACAUGUGCAACCUGCGAUUACCAUAUCAGAGAAAUUGCUUGAUAUAAAAAUACCAGAAUACGAGGGGUGGCAUCUUGACCGGACUAAAGGAGUAAGGCAAUGUUGCGCCUCAUCUGCUUCAUCACCACCACCUUUCUCUUGUUUCUCAGUAGCUCUAUCCUUGCUACCGCCAUCUUCGCCGCUGUUUUGCUACAAUUUGAAGUAAACAAAAGAACUAAAACGUGCUUUAUUUGUUAUUAAAGAAAAUGCAAAGAAAGGAAACAAAUCGAGAACCCCAGAAAAGGAAGGCCGAAAGCAAACGAAACGGGAAUAAAAAAACCAUAAAGACGAUUUUAAUGGGUUCGUACCAUUUGCAGGAGUUGAAGCCGUUGCGAAAGAGAGAAAGAGUAAGCUUCAUGGACCUCGGCCCUUGCCCUUGUCCCUGCCCUAGCCCCUAGCAGAAGAGAGACAGACAGACAGACAGACAGACAGUAAGGAAGAGAAGAAGAUUAUUUAGAAAGGUGGGAUUUGCAACGUUUCGAUGUGCUUAGAAAGCAAAAAGAAACACUGGGAUUUCCCACUCUUCUACCACCGACUUGGCCUGAUUUGUGAGACAGCGGUAGCCGUUACGAGAUUUGACGCGCGGGAAGAAGAAAACAGAGUCAUACGUUGGAAGAAUCCGACGUUGUUAGGAUUGGAAUUGGGCCUAAACUUCUAUCCAGAGAAAGAAACCCGUUUGUGAACAGUUAAAGAAAAGAAAAACAAUGGCGGUAAAAUUCAAAGGAUGCUAAUUCCGCCCCAACACACAUUACUUGGUAAACAGGUUUGUCCUGCAACAUUUUUGUAAGAGGAAAAGGAUUUGCAUGCCCAUCUCGAUAUAUAAAGUAUAAAUCUUUCUCUCUGGUUCUGGCUAAUUUCUUGUUAGGAGAGUUCACUGAGAGUGGAUUGAGUUUUUGGCGAGCUGAGAUCUUCAUUUUCUUUCUUUUCCUUCAAAAGGCUUGGGCAUUUGACCUCGAAAGAGAGGAAUGCUUGCCUAUUUCAAGAAUGGAUUCAAAGCCCCUUGUUACUUGGGAAUUGUUCCCUCUAGCCGACACCAGGCUAGAAGAAAAAAAGAUCCAGUCGGUGAAGAGAGCAGCAUUUCAUUAGGAUUGCCUCUUUCAGGGGAAUAUAAUUUUAUGUUCAAAGGAAAAAGUAAUGCAGGUGGUGAAGGGAAGCAGGAGAGGUUUGAAAUAGCCGAAUGUAGCGAUCAAUAUCAAAGGGAAGAACAUGGCAUGAACAGCCCCCAGGAGGCGGAGGUUGGGGGUCUUUCUUUGGAACUGAGUCUGGGUGGUUUUAAUGAUACAAGUGUUUACACUUACAAGGAGAGAGAGAGAAUAGAGAAUCCGGCAGUGCAAGAAGAGUUGCGUCUCACAGAAACAAGAGAAUUAAAGUUGAGAGAGAAGAAGCGAGGAUGUUAGUUUUGACGUCUGAACUGAGGCUCGGGCUUGAUCCUUGCUGCAUUAAAAAGAAGCUUACUGGAAGCGACCUUGGCAACAUGUCAAGGCUCAUGCUGGCAUUAAAGUGCGUAGAAUAUCAUGUCUUUCCAUCGUGGAAUGCUGAGGAAGGGUUGCCAGUUUCUGUGUGGGAUUGUGAUACACAGACCGAACAUGAGCUGGUUCUCAAGCGGUGGAACAAGAGGGCCAACGUGUUUGUCAAAGAACUGGGUCAUGGACUUCGUGGAGAGGAAGGAACUGAAGGUGGGGGAUGAAAUUGGCCUUUGCUGGGACACAUGCAAUUCAAGCUUCCAAUUUUCUGUCGUUAACCCAGUGGCAACGAAUUAGAGAUUUUUUUUUAGUUAUUUCUAAUUUUUUUUAGGGUAAUAUGAUGUAAUUAAUUAAUUUCUUCAUCUUCUGGUAAUCAACUCUGAGCUAAAUAUAUAUAGUUUGUUCAAA